CACGUAGGGCGCGAGCGUUUGUCCGGAUUUAUUGGGCGUAAAGAGCUCGUAGGCGGUUCGGUAAGUCGGAUGUGAAAUCUCCACGCUCAACGUGGAGGGGCCAUUCGAUACUGCCGUGACUCGAGUCCGGUAGGGGAGUGUGGAAUUCCCGGUGUAGCGGUGAAAUGCGCAGAGAUCGGGAGGAACACCCGUAGCGAAGGCGGCACUCUGGGCCGGUACUGACGCUGAGGAGCGAAAGCGUGGGGAGCGAACAGG
rnacentral:rRNA from 1 species